ensembl:lncRNA
UAACAGUACAGCCGGUCUGAGCCAUACAUUCAUUGAUGGUUCUUUAUCUUGCAAUCCAUAUUCAUCAACAAUCCUGUUUGUUCUACCCGAAAAACAGACCCCAAAUCUAAUCACCUUUCAACUUCUGCUAGCCACCAUCGCCCUAGAUGGAACUACCAUUCUCUCUUCAGCUCCCUGUUCCUGUGUACCCCGCCCCCUCCCCACAGCCUGUCCUUCACAGGCUGGCAGAGUAAACAUUUAAAAUGGGAGUCAGAUCAGGCUGGUUCACAAGGUGAAGACAGAGGGCAUCCAGGAGGCAGCACCUCCCUCUCCUCCGCCCCUCACCCCCAUCGAUUCCACUUACCUCCUGCCAACUCCACAAAGAGUCUCGUUCCCAGCCCUGUGUGAAUUUCUCUCCACUCUGCACUGGCCGCUGAUUCCUGCUCAUUCAUCACUCUCCAUCCCCUCUGGUGGCACAGGGACCCUGUCCUGGGGACCUCGCCUCCCAGUGGACCUCCUCUUCCUGGUGUGAGCUGACUCCAUCAUUGGAGCCGGCCUGGUACAGACAGCAGCCUGCUCUCAGGAGGGCCCGACCUCCAACUACUGCUGUGCCAAGGUGGCCUGUCUGAGGUGUAAAUCAACCCCGACUGCAAGGCCAUCGGCCGUGUUCUUGGAGCUGCCUGCUGACAGCAUUCAGGAGUCCGGGCUGACUCUUUCUCUCCUGGCUGUAGCAGUGUGGGCCAUGUGUUAUGACCACAGAGGAUUCAGGGACUGGGAGGAGCCCUCCGAAGUUAUUUUGCCUCCCUGGCCUCUGCCCUCGGCUAACACCUUCUGACCAUCACCGUGGGACAAAGAACCCUCUUCCCAUGGAGACUUGGUUCAGCACGGCGCCCCUCCCAGCUGCCUGCCCUCUGCUCACGCGGGCUCGGUUGCGUUGGUGGAAGAAAACAGUACCUCCUGCUGAUGAAGUCACCUGCCUCUGGCGCUGCACUCCCACCAUCACCAGCUUCUUCUCUUGACCACUAGUUUACAGUUUCCCAGCCUCUCUGCUGUCUGGGCGACAGGAGCACCCAGCCAAGACAAUCUGAAUUAAUUUUGCAAGUAAAAUUUAAUCAGACGACCCAUCAAGCGCCCCACUAAAUCAAGACAUAUUACAUCUUGUGUGAGCCCUGAGCCCAUUCAUCAUGUAAGGCAGCCCCUGAAAUGCCAGCCAGGGUUAGGGCAAAAAGGAAGAGCGUUCUUGUCUGAAGUCAGAAGCAGUCUUCCCUGUCCCCGGCUUAGCUCUUUUGCGGGUGAUAGCAUCAAGAAGGUGGUAUUGGUAUUGGUGGCAUCAGAGUUAGGGUCAAAUGCUCUCUCUGAGCCUCAGUUUUCUUAUAUGUAAAAUGGGAAUGAUGGCCCUCUUAGAGGGCUGUUACAAGGUUAAAUGAGGGAGACCUCAUUUAAGUGUGAAGUGUCUGUAUUAUACUAAAUGUUCUAUAAAUGGUAGUUCCUCCCUGCCUCUGCCCCUGUCCCCCAUAAGAAG